rnacentral:rRNA from 1 species
UACGUAGGGGGCUAGCGUUGUCCGGAAUUAUUGGGCGUAAAGGGCGCGUAGGCGGCUUUGCAAGUGACGGGUGAAAGCCCUCGGCUUAACCGAGGAACUGCCUGUCAGACUGUGAGGCUUGAGACCGGGAGAGGUGAGUGGAAUUCCCAGUGUAGCGGUGAAAUGCGUAGAUAUUGGGAGGAACACCAGUGGCGAAGGCGGCUCACUGGACCGGAACUGACGCUGAGGCGCGAAAGCGUGGGGAGCAAACAGG